rnacentral:rRNA from 1 species
CAUUGGGAAUGAGAUAUCCCAAGUAGAGAACUCUACCAGCAGUCGAGAAUAUUAGUCAAUGCUCGCAAGAGUGAACUAGCUAACUGGAAUCAUGGGUGUGUCACUCGUGAUUUGUUUAAGGAAAAAUGAUGAUGUCACUUAAUACAAAUAGUGUUGUCCAAAGCUGGUGCCAGAAGACUCGGUAAGGCCAGAGACGCAAGCGUUAAUCAUCCUGAUCAGGCGUAAAGGGUUUGUAGGCAGCUUUAAUAAAUUAAAGAUUGAAUCAAAUAGAAGUCAAGAGAAUUCCUAGAUUAGGGUUGAUAUCUGUAUAAACUAGGAAGAAUUCUAAUUAGCGAAGGCACUUUUCUAUCUAAUGAUUGACGCUGAGACACGAAGGGGAGGAUCGACAAUAGGAUUAGAUACCCUGGCAUCCCUCUCUGUAAACGAUGAAUGGUAGUUGCUAAUCAGAAUAAUUAGUGACGAGGCUAACGCGUUAACCAUUCCGCCUUGUGAGUACGACUGCAAAGUUGAAAACAAAAAAAUUAGUCGGUUUCGGAGCAA